CUUUUUUUUUUUUUUUUUUUUUUUUUGGAAAGGCAGGGUCUCGCUUUGUUGCCCAGGCUGGUCUCCAACUCCUGGAUUCAAGCAAUCUUCCCAACUCAGACUCCCAAAGUGCUGAGAUUACAGGUGUGAGCCACCAUGCCCAGCCCGAAAAGAUUAUUAAACUAAAAAUAUAAAAGCAAAGACAUAAACAGGAAGAAACAAAUAUGCUGGACUCUGGGACUAAUAUGGUCACAGUGCAUUGAAGCCUUAAAUUCUUUCAGCUUUCUUAGCAACCUGAUAGGAAAGGAAAACACAAAGAUCGAUAGAAUUUUAUUCUCUGGUAGAAGAAGGUUUAUGCAUUCUUCAGUUUACUGUGGAAGCAAAAAUAACCCACAUAUGGCUCUUAAAUUGGGAUUUGGGGAUGCUAAGCUGGGGAAGUCCCAGCAUGUAAUUUCCUGAUGCUUUCACUGAAGUUGUUACCUCAUACCUUAUUUAGAUCUGUUUCUACUAUGAGUUACACGACAUGGUUCUUGGGUGUAAAUAAAACAGAAAGAUAAGUCUUCAUUUAUUUCGGAUACAUUCACUGAGUUCUACAUUAGCUAAGAAUACCAGAAUAAGAGACCCAGCCUCUGCUCUCUGAAAACUCACACCAUAUUUAGGAAGCAAAGGAGUAAGCAGAUGAUUGUAAUCUAGUGUGCCAGCCACUCUAACAGAGUUAACUCAGGAGUAGCAGGGAGACCCACCUGAAGGUGGGAGGGCCAGGGAGGUGGGGCUGUAAUAAGCAAAUAAGCCUUUGGGGAAAGGGAAGUAGAGAGUGUUCCAAGGAGGAAUAGCGUGUGUGAAGAAAUGAUGAUGUGUCUGUGAAUCUGUACUGAAGUGUAGGUGUGGGGACAUGAAAUUGGAGCGGUCAGUAGGGAUCAGAUCUCGAGGGUCUUGCAGGCCACCCUAACGGUCUUGAUUUUAUGCUGCAGAAAAUGAGGACUUGCUGAAAGAUUUUAACCAAAGGAAUGUUUGGAGAUAUUUGCCUUUCAGGGGAAAAAUUACCCUGACAACAGUGGGGAGUAUGGCAUGGGGUGAGUUGCUUCUGGGCCAGGAAAACAAAGUGAAGAGACCAUUGUAAAUAUACCAUGUGAUUCAGAAUGAGAAUUCCAACUAGGGCACUAGCAAUAAGAAUGGAGAGAAAAGGCAGGAGAAUCGCUUGAACCUGGGAGGCGGAGGUUGCAGUGAGCUAAGAUUGUGCCACUGCACUCCAGCCUGGGUGACAGAGCAGGACUCAUCUCAAAAAAAAAAAAAAAAAAAAAA
rnacentral:lncRNA from 1 species